ensembl:snoRNA SNORD31 Small nucleolar RNA SNORD31
UCUAGAAGUGAUGAGUUAUUUAUUACCGCCCCAGUCUGAUAAUUCAUGACUGAUUGGUUACCUCUGAUCCAAC